rnacentral:rRNA from 1 species
AGAUGAGGUAGCUGGAAUGGAUAGUGUAGCGGUGAAAUUCAUAGAUAUUAUCCAGAACACCAAUNAGUAGGCAAGCUAGUAAGUCUCAACUGACGCUGAGGCAUGAAAGUGUGGGUAUCAAACAGGAUUAGAUACUCUGGUAGUCCACACUGUAAACGAUGAUAUCUAACUGUUGGCUUUGGGGUCAGUGGUACAGAGAAAUCGUUAAGUUAUCCACAUGGGGAGUACGCCGGCAACGGUGAAACUCAAAGGAAUUGAUGGGGGUCCGCACAAGCGGUGGAGCAUGUGGUUUAAUUUGACGAUACGCGAGGACCCUUACUUAGGUUAGAAUGUGAAGGAAUGUAUCAGAAAUGGUGCAGUCAGCAAUGACUUGAAACAAGGUGCAGCAUGGUUGUCGUCAGCUCGUGCCGGGAGGUGUUGGGUUAAGUCCCGCAACGAGCGCAACCCUUGUUGUUAGUUGCCAUCAGGUAAUGGUGGGAAUUCUAACAAGACUGCCUUCGCAAGUAGAGAGGAAGGAGGGGACGACGUCAAGUCAUCAUGGCCCUUACGCGUAGGGCAACACACGUGCUACAAUGGACGGUACAGCAGGUCGCUAUGUGGUAACACAGUGCCAAUAUACAAAUCCGUUCUCAGUUGGGAGGGGGGUGUGCAACUCGACCCUAAGAAGCGGGAAUCGCUAGUAAUCGGGUAUCAGAUAUGAUCCGGAGAAUACGUUCCCGCACCUUGUACACANNNNNNNUCAACCCAUGAAAGUGUGGUAGACCUAAAGCGGGUUGUCAAAACGCCACUUAGGGUAGAACAGGUAAUUAGGGCUAAGUCGUAACAAGGUA